rnacentral:lncRNA from 1 species
GGGACCCAGGACCCAGACGCCCCGUGGGCGCCUCCACCUGAAGGCGCGGAAGAGCCAGUCGGCACUGCCGCGUCAUCCCCGAAGGCCAGCCGCCCCGGGACGCUCGCCCUGCACCCGGGUUCUAGUGCGGCCGGCCCCGGGCGCCCGCCUCCACCUCCUCUCCUGAGCCCGGCUCUGGCUCCGCCCGGCCCCCCCGCCACUGCCCCAGACACUCACCUGCGCCGGCUCCAGGUUGGGCGCACUGCCGCCUCCCAGCUCCGCGGGGAGUCCACACCAAAGAAGUCAGAGAAAAAGGGCCCAGGUUCGGAAAGGGCCGCAUGGACAGAACCUGAAGCGCGCCCGGCCCAGGCCAAAACCUCCGCUGCCCCGCAAGAGGGGGCGGCGCCCGAGCGCGGAGCCCAGCGGGGGAACAAAGGGGAGCCGGGACCCGGCCGCGCGCUUCCUGGGUGUCGGGUGACAGGUUUGCAGGGGAAGGCCCCGGCCGGGCCACCUGAAGAGGAUCCGACUCCGCGCGGCAGGAGGGGGAGGGCCAGAGGGGCACCGGGGCCCCAGGGCCGGAAGAACAGGGGGCGCGGGCCGCCUGGGACCAGGCGGCUGGAGGGAGGCCCUGCGGCUCCAGCACAGCGGCGCGGGGGCUCGACGGAGUGCGGAGAGAAUGACUCCAGGAGGGUUUUACCGCCCCCACCGGGCCCCGCCCGCCCCUCGCGCCGCGCCAUUGGCUCAGGUGCCGCGAGGCGGGGAGGGGAAAGAGGCGGGCCAGGGAUGAUUCACCUUGAAUGUGGCUCCGGUUGGUGCGCGGCGCAGGGCACGCCCGUCCGGGACUGCGGAGAGGCCUGGAGCCCCGCCUGCUUGCCCAACCCGGCCCGGUCUGGCCCCAAGGGGUCCCGCCACCCGCCUUCUAUACCCACCUCCUGCCCUCGGGCUAGGGUGCCGCUAGCCGAGGGGCGCCCGGACGCUCUGCCACCCCAGCGCCCUCUGAGCCCGGAGCUAGCCGAGGUGUGUGUGGCGUGGCGUGCUUGGAAAUCCGACCCUGGGAGGGGGGAGGGGAGGUGCGUUGGGAGCUGGGACGCACCGUGGGGCCACUGGACGGAUCUCCGCAGUCUCCCCGCAGGAAGGUGCUCAAGGCUGACCUGUCUCAGAGGGCUCACCCAGACCCAGGGGCGCAGGGCUGGAAUGGGGACAAGGGGCCUCCAAGUCCUCACACGCCCACCCUCGGCCAGUUCUGCGGCCUCACAGGUGUCUGGCCACCGGGGCCGCUGCCGCUGGGAACAAAGGCUGUCUGUCCCGAGAGGGGGGGCAGGGGAGCCGCCCCCAGACCCGUUCUCAUCUCCCCCUCCCCCCACUGCGACAGUGGCUCCCUAG